UAUUUUAAUAUCAAGUGUGAUUUUAUGUUUUGUUUUUGUUUUUAAAUCCAAUCAUGAUUUUACACAGUCUAGAUCAAAGAGUGAAUUUUCAAGCUCAGCGUGAUUCAAAUUCCCUCUUUGCAGAGUUUCUGAUUCAUACUCAAAAGCUGUGGGCUGCUGGGAGCAGAUGGUGUCCACAUUUUUUGACCACAAACAGCCUGCUGUUGACUGUUCUGUCAGACUCUAGUUAUUUGUUUCAGUCAUUCUUUUUUUUAUUAAAAUUGAUUUACAGCUCCAAUAUUAGCAGUUUCCAUCUUCACCAGUGGUGUUUGCCUUGGUGUUUUUUGUCAUAUCAUUGCAAAACCAAAUAGGCCUGUUUAGUUGGAUAAAACAGUCCUGAGAAGAUCUCAGUAGUGGGAUUAUUGGUGUGUAGAGGCUUCAUCAAAUUACGAAAAUAGAUUUUGGGAAAGAAAUUCUAGGUUUAUUCUAAACAAAAUCAGCCAAUAUAUGCCUACAUAAAUAUUACCUUAGUAGUUUGACUGAUGAUUGUUUCUCAUGAUGUUUCAGCUGUAUGCACUAGAGGGGCAUAAGCACAUAAUCAUUGAGAGACUGAUGGUGUGCAGUGGAUUCAGCUGAAACAUGCACAUCUGGCAGCACCAGCAAAAAACAACCUGUGCAUUGGCACAGGUUAUGGAUAAAAUAGAUACUUAAGUGACAACACUGACUGUGCAGUUAAUUCACCCAGUCAAACAGUUGUAAUUUUUUUCAUUCUGCUUAAUGUAGACUAAGUUAUAGUAUUUAUAGCUUGACAAAAGAGUGUGUGUCAGAUGCUUCUGCUCUGUUUAGAUGUUUGAGCCUAAGCUUGUCAUCUAUUAUAGGGCAGCAACUAAUUAUGUUCAUUAAUUAAUACGCCAGUUAUUUUCUUAAUUAAUAGAUUAACUGUAAUCCAAAAAAUGCCUUUUCUGUGAUGAUCAACAGUCCAAAACUGAAAGACGUUUGCCAUUGUUUAUUUUAUCAAGAAAGUCUAAGAAAACCAGCAAAUAUUAACAUAUGAGAAGCUAAAACUAGAGAUAUUUUUGCAUGUUUGCUUAUUAAAUGAAUUAAUUACUCAGCAAAGCAGUUUAAUUAAUUUUCUGUCAAUCAGUACCCCUAACUCCUAAUAUACAAUCUUUCAUUAGGUAAAGUACAGGGAUGAUGCCAACAGAAGCUGCCUUUUUGAAAAUAACUUUAUUCAGUUUCAGAAAUAUAGCUUAAUGGAACAGGCAAACUGACAUCAAUGGGAUACAAAAUGACCACAAAGAAAUGCUAAAUAAACACCUCAAAAGACACAAAAGAUCUCUUAAUCUCAUGUCUUCUCUCUUUAUCUUUCUCCCACAUGCAGACAAGUUGUCCUCAAGUCACCAUAUUAAAUAAUAUCUGUUUUGCAUUAACUGGGAGCCUGAGGUGGUACAGUUGCACCAGAACAGCUGGUAGGGCUCCUGCUGCUGGAGUAAAAGGGUGGCUCUGCUCUUUAUUUACCUGUUGCCAUGAUGAAUCUUAGUAUCAAAGCUGCUUUGAUGAUGGCUUUUUAAAGGCGUCAUGCACAAACUUAAGUCCGAGUUAACUGAACUCAGGCAGUGGAAAGAUGCCUGUAAUGAUGUCUAAAAACAGUGGAGAGCACUGGGAACACUAGAAAGGAUUUCAAAUCAGUCUAAGCACAACAAUACUUGAAUGUUUUUAUUUCUUCAAUAAGUAAGGCUGCACAAGAAUUAGUUUUAAUAAUAUAAGUAUGCCUUUCUUUAUAUGGGUACAUGAAGCCACAUAAGGGAAAGCAGAAUUAGAUUUAGAAAACUGUUUAGGGAAGUUCUGAAUUUAGGAAGACUAAUUGUUACUGUUUUGGUGUGUACUGUUCAAGGCAGGAACAGACAUGGCUGUAACAUAAUUGGUCUAGUUUAUGUUUUUUUUUACUUUAUAUUUACUGUAAAUGUGUAUUACUUAUCAGAAAAUUAAAGCAAACAUAAGAGCAUCUAUAAUGUAAUCUAAUGUGCAUGUAAGAUUAUGGGCACUGACAUUAAUUUUCAUUAAUUUAUGCUGAUCAAAAGCGUCCAUUAAAAAUAUUUAAUACAUCAUUCAGAAAAAAUAAUUUAUUGUACCCAAGGAGCUUCAAACAUCUGUGGGCUACUUUGGAAAUCCAACUUUUCACUUGGAUACUUUUAUUAGAAAAAACAAACAAGCCAACAACAGGUCAACUUUCCUCUGGUCUCCUGAACUGAUUGUUUUGAAAAAGUCCUGUGAAAUGCUUUUUUUUUACAGAGCCGAUUCCCUUCACUAUUAAUCUACCAAGAUCUAAUCAAGCCAAAAUCAAGGCCAGAACUUUGGGGGUCCAUUUGAAGUCCCUGUUACAAUGGAUUGCAGGGAAGACAAGGACAAAACAUCCUGAGAAACCUUCACACCUCCAACAGGCACAUCAUUUUGAAUCGAGUACCACUGUAG